AGGCUGAGAGGAAAGGGCUGGGAGCCGGGAGGCAGCUUGUCCUCCCGCGAGCCUGCAAGGAUGCUGCAGGGGACUGAGACCAUGGGGAGGUGCUAACUUCCUCUCCAACCCCCCAGCCCGGGAUCCGGGCUGGCAUACCCGGCCCCCCGGGGUAGUUUCCUGCCAAGCUCAACCAAGAAUCCAAAGGCGACUUGGAGGGCAUAAAAAGAAAAACACUGGUUCUGAAGAGGGGCCCCCACCUCCAGAGCCGGUUCCUCGGCAAACGCGCGGAAGGUAGGAGGAAGGGGAUCAGAUACUGGAGACUGUACGCCAAAACCCCAGCCUGAAGACUCGCUCCAGAGCCUCCCUGAAGACCUGGGCGAUCUGCGCCAUCAUCUUCAAUGCCUCUCUGAAAAUCAUUUAGCAAGAGUGAGAGAAAGAGAGGAGAGCGCGCACCAGGGAGAGGAGCAAAGAAGAUGAGGAUUAUUUGCAGGCAGAUUGUCUUGUUGUUUUCUGGAUUUUGGGGACUCGCCAUGGGAGCCUUUCCGAGCAGCGUUCAAAUAGGUGGUCUCUUUAUCCGAAACACAGACCAGGAAUACACUGCUUUUCGGCUAGCUAUCUUUCUUCAUAACACCAGCCCCAAUGCAUCUGAAGCCCCUUUCAAUUUGGUACCUCAUGUGGACAACAUUGAGACUGCCAACAGUUUUGCUGUGACAAAUGCAUUCUGUUCCCAGUAUUCUAGAGGGGUGUUUGCCAUUUUUGGACUCUAUGACAAGAGGUCAGUGCAUACCUUGACCUCCUUCUGCAGUGCUCUGCACAUCUCUCUCAUCACACCAAGCUUCCCCACUGAAGGAGAGAGCCAGUUCGUGCUUCAGCUAAGACCUUCAUUGAGAGGUGCACUCCUGAGCCUCCUGGAUCACUAUGAAUGGAAUUGUUUUGUCUUCCUGUAUGAUACAGACAGGGGGUAUUCAAUACUUCAAGCUAUAAUGGAAAAAGCAGGACAGAAUGGAUGGCAUGUCAGUGCGAUAUGUGUGGAAAAUUUUAACGAUGUCAGCUACAGGCAACUACUAGAAGAGCUUGACAGAAGACAAGAGAAGAAAUUUGUAAUAGAUUGUGAGAUAGAAAGGCUUCAAAACAUAUUAGAACAAAUUGUGAGUGUUGGGAAGCACGUCAAAGGCUACCAUUAUAUCAUCGCAAAUUUGGGUUUCAAAGAUAUUUCUCUUGAGAGAUUUAUACAUGGAGGAGCAAAUGUCACUGGAUUCCAGUUAGUAGAUUUUAAUACGCCCAUGGUGACGAAACUAAUGGAUCGCUGGAAGAAACUAGAUCAACGAGAAUAUCCAGGAUCUGAAACACCUCCAAAGUACACUUCUGCUCUCACUUACGAUGGUGUCUUGGUAAUGGCUGAAACUUUCCGAAGUCUCAGAAGACAGAAAAUUGAUAUUUCAAGGAGAGGAAAUGCCGGGGAUUGUCUGGCAAACCCUGCUGCUCCCUGGGGCCAGGGAAUUGACAUGGAGAGAACACUGAAGCAGGUUCGAAUUCAAGGACUGACUGGGAAUGUUCAAUUUGACCACUAUGGACGUAGAGUUAAUUACACAAUGGAUGUGUUUGAAUUAAAAAGCACAGGACCUCGAAAGGUUGGCUAUUGGAACGAUAUGGAUAAAUUAGUCUUGAUUCAAGAUGCGCCUACUCUUGGCAAUGACACAGCAGCUAUCGAGAACAGAACAGUGGUUGUAACCACAAUUAUGGAAUCCCCCUACGUUAUGUACAAGAAAAAUCAUGAAAUGUUUGAAGGAAAUGACAAGUAUGAAGGCUACUGUGUAGACUUGGCAUCUGAAAUUGCGAAACAUAUCGGUAUCAAAUAUAAAAUUGCCAUUGUCCCUGAUGGAAAAUAUGGAGCAAGGGAUGCGGACACCAAAAUUUGGAAUGGGAUGGUAGGAGAGCUUGUGUAUGGGAAAGCAGAGAUUGCCAUUGCACCUCUGACAAUCACGUUGGUGCGAGAGGAGGUCAUCGACUUUUCUAAGCCUUUUAUGAGUUUAGGCAUCUCUAUCAUGAUCAAAAAACCUCAGAAAUCUAAACCAGGAGUGUUUUCCUUCUUGGACCCUCUGGCCUAUGAGAUCUGGAUGUGCAUAGUGUUUGCAUACAUUGGUGUCAGCGUGGUCUUGUUCCUAGUCAGUAGGUUUAGCCCAUAUGAGUGGCACACAGAAGAGCCUGAGGAUGGAAAAGAAGGACCCAGUGACCAACCUCCCAAUGAGUUUGGCAUCUUUAACAGCCUCUGGUUUUCCCUGGGUGCCUUUAUGCAACAAGGAUGUGACAUUUCACCCAGAUCCCUGUCCGGUCGGAUUGUUGGAGGCGUAUGGUGGUUCUUCACUCUCAUCAUUAUCUCAUCCUACACUGCUAAUCUGGCUGCAUUCCUGACAGUGGAGAGAAUGGUCUCCCCCAUAGAAAGUGCAGAAGACCUGGCCAAACAAACAGAAAUUGCCUAUGGAACACUUGAUUCGGGAUCAACAAAAGAAUUCUUCAGAAGAUCAAAAAUAGCAGUAUAUGAAAAGAUGUGGACCUACAUGCGAUCGGCAGAGCCAUCUGUGUUCACUAGAACUACAGCUGAGGGCGUGGCCCGUGUCCGCAAGUCCAAGGGCAAAUUUGCCUUCCUCCUGGAGUCCACGAUGAAUGAAUACAUUGAGCAGCGAAAGCCCUGUGACACGAUGAAAGUGGGAGGAAACCUGGAUUCCAAAGGCUAUGGUGUAGCGACGCCCAAGGGUUCCUCAUUAAGACACACAGAAGCAUGCAAAUCCCCCUGGUGAUGUACUUAAAUGUUUCCCACUUCUCUAUAGUAAUACUGGUGUUUACUGAGGAGGACAGAGGAGAACUAACCAGCUCCAGGAUUAAGAAAUGCUGUUAACCUCGCAGUUUUAAAACUGAAUGAACAAGGCCUCUUGGACAAAUUGAAAAACAAAUGGUGGUACGACAAAGGAGAAUGUGGCAGCGGGGGAGGUGACUCCAAGGACAAGACGAGUGCCUUGAGCCUGAGCAACGUAGCAGGCGUCUUCUACAUUCUGGUUGGCGGCUUGGGCUUGGCAAUGCUGGUGGCUUUGAUAGAGUUCUGUUACAAGUCCAGGGCAGAGGCGAAGAGAAUGAAGGUGGCAAAGAGUGCACAGACUUUUAACCCAACUUCCUCGCAGAAUACCCACAAUUUAGCAACCUAUAGAGAAGGUUACAACGUAUAUGGAACCGAAAGUAUUAAAAUUUAGGGCUGACUUUUUCCGAAGCCAUAAGAAACAAAGCCAGGUUAUCCAUCACUGGGAGUGUGGGAGAAAACGGCCGUGUGCUGACCCCCGACUGCCCCAAGGCCGUACACACAGGAACUGCGAUUAGACAGAGCUCGGGAUUGGCUGUCAUUGCAUCGGACCUACCAUAAAAACCAAAAAAUUAAUUGAGUGCCUUAAUCAAACUGUGUUGGUGACUGAUGGAAACGCAGCCCCGAGGGACAGGCCAAGCGUGGGUCUUGGCUAAACCCAUCCUUUGACUGAGCAGGAAGGACAUCCUGAGUGCCGGACAGAACCAGUGCAUGAGUUCCGCACGGAAAUGCAGACUCGGAUUUUUUUAUCAGGAAAUCUCACAGUUUAGUUUUUUGGGGGGAGUGGGUGGGGUACCUUAGGUGUAUUAACAGCAACAGAUCUCACUUGAGCGCACUUAAAACUAAUCAGACUGGCCAGUUAGCGCAUUAAACUGUGAAGUUCUUUCUCAGAAAGGUCGUGGUCACCACAGCCAGGGAUCAACAGUUAAUAGAGGUCAAAGAACCUGCUACCUGUGUCUCCAGAACACCCAUAUAGUCCAUGGAAUAAUCUUCCGCUGAGACAAGCCGUCACUAACAUGUGAUAGGAAAAUAAUAAAUAGAUAAAGCCUGUGAACAAACAAUGAGAUUUAAAGAAAGUAUUUACAGUUACUUUGGAAAUAAAACAAUACUGAAACAUGCUUGCUUUUUAACUGAAGUUAAUCCAGUAGAGGACAACGCAAUUGUUUUUUCUAACCAUCUUAGGGAACAAUACAUUGCAAUAAUUGAUAAUAGUGCCAUCACUGUAAUAAACUUUAGAGACUUUUUUUAAUGUAAAAGUUGUUGGUCACCUUGUUUCCUGUAACCUUCACUCUGUCACACAAGUUGGCUCAUAGGUUGUGUUUGUCUAUCAGAAAUAAGAAAAACACAAGUGAAGAAAAUGUUGGCAUGAAGUCAUCCAUCUGCAAUGAAAAACCUAAAAGACUACGGGUCACUCAUGUUAUCAAUAUAAUUUAUAAUCCUGUUCAGUGUACAAAAUUGUGGGUUUUGUACUCACCCAAAAGACUAAAACACCAGUUUUUCUUACAGUAUCUAUCUACAGAGCUUAUUCUCCCCUAUUAUUUGGGAAACUCUGAGACUCCAUAUUGCAGAAGUCAAGGAAUAGGCCAUAUAAGAAAAUGUAGCUUGUUUUUAUUAUUUCUGCAUAUUUAUUUCUAGAUCUUGGGCUCAUUUGUUAACAGAAUAAGUUGUCAAAGGUAAAGUCCUUGAGUCUGGGAAUGAGCCAUCGUUCCAAAACCAACACACCCUGUGUGGAAAUUUUACUUGACUCUGUUUUGCUGCAUAGAAUUCAGUGUCUCUUGGCCAUUCCCCCUCAUUCCUAUACUAAAUUCUUUGAAGACACUGGUAACAGUUUGUGGUAGACUACAGUUGAAAAAACUCAAUCCUUAUUUCUACCAAGUAAUUGUGAGUAAAAUUAUACCAUGAUCAUUUUUAAGAAAAGAAAACCCUUAUGGUUCAAAAGGUCUGGUUCAUUUGAAAUGAUGAAUGAGUUCAAUGAUACAGUUUUUAAAAAACCAAAACAAACAAACAAACAAAAACAAAUCACAGAUUGAGGGAUCUUUGCAGAAAGCACAAAUUAGGAUGAUGCCCAAAGUGUGGCCUUGAAGAAUGAGUUGAGUUUUCACAGGAGAAGGUGCUGGUAAGAUCCUAGGCGUGAGCAGCACACAUAGCUGCUUCUUUUAUCAGUGUUUCAUGUACAAGGCUUGUGCAACCAGGUGGCCUGGUGAGGGCACAGGGUGUGACACCAUGGAAGCUCUGUCAGAAAUAUGGAGAAUUGGUUUCCUUCCCUCAAUACUUACAAUCCCAUUCAAUAACUGUGUGUCACUACAAUGUAAUCCUUAUAAUACAUGUAUGCACUGUCCUUUGGGAAAGGUUACUUCUCUGUUGUUGAGCAAUGAUUCAUUUCACAACCUAGGCCACUCCCUGGUAUCUUCCUCUUCCUCUCUCACUCCUACCCAAGCUCUCAGCCAGCAAAUGGACCUCCACAGCACACGGAACACGGCAUCUACUGUGUCUUUGAUCUGUAGAUCUUUUUUGUCUUUACCUGACUGUCACACAUCCUUCAGCCCUGAAAUUGAAUUUUAUGUGUACUGAGAAGAUUUCCAUGAUUACCCACCACCCUGCCCAUGACACUGAGUUACCUGCCAUUCUUAAUGUUUCUUACCCAUCAUGGCACUCAUCGUACUGCAUUGUAAUUGCCUGUGUACUUGUCUAUAAACUACUAGACUGUCAGCUCCUUGAGGGCAGGGACUGUGUCUAUUUUGUUCACAGUUGUAUCCCCAGCACCCAGCACAGUGCCUGGCAUAUUGUAGGUGCUUAAUAAAUAUUUGUUGAAUGAAAGAA